GUACAUAUCAUCUUGGCCUUCUCGAGUCGGGUAAAAUGAGCUGUGCUUUCAGCUAUUUUUUGUCUCCAAAGUUUCAACCAAACAAGGAAAAUUCUCACAGAAACAAAGACAAGGAUAUGGAGUGGCAUGGAAUGUCAAUCAACGUGUCUGGCAUUUUUGUACCAUCAAAUGGGUAGCGUUAAGGAAUCAAAAAGACGUGGCCAGGUCUAAUCCAGCCCCAAUAGUCUUUGUACGAACAUCAUCUUUUAUUCCACGUCAAUAAUAAAUCAACAAUCACAAUUAUGGAUGCCCACAAGUUCUUGCAUUUUCCUUCUGGCAAAAAAAGAAAAGAAAAUGUUGUUGGAGUUUCAUAGAUCAUGGCAUCAUGUCAAGAAUUUUUGGUGAUUUGAUUUAUCCUCGAAAGAAAGCAAUCCCGCUCCACUAAUUGCGUAAUCAAGUAUAAUUUACCCAUAAUCUGCAAAGCACAUGGGGAGAAUUCUAUUAGCAGAUUCGAGCUUGUUGGAUCGUGGCCUACCAAGUACCAACCCCUCCAACAACUUUCUUGUAGCUAAUAUAUCUACUUUAAUUCUAGUUUCUUUUGUAUAUUAUAUUGCUGGCGAGAUUCCAUAAGCUGAUUACUUUAUGCCCUUGAAAGUAAAAAGAACUUGAACCAGGGGAAAAAAAUCAAAGAUUGGAGCAGGUGUACAAGGUUGCUCGAAACAAGAAAGAGAGAGCUAGUAUAUGACUAGGAUUCGGUGUAAGAACUUUUUCAGGCCUGAAUCUGGACACGCAAUCGCUCAGAAAACCAAACUGGGCACAUCCAGCUGAAAUUCCUAAGUUUCUGGCUGGUUUUAGCCCCAGCUUCUGUUCUAGGAUGUGAAUGAAAAUUGGUGAUAAAAUGAGGCUUAAGCAACUGUCAGCUGAUUCAAAAUGUCUGCACACUUUCAGCUUGGUUAGGUUAAGUUAUAGGUUUUCCGAUGAGCUGGUUAUGGCUUCCGAUUUCGACCACCCUCCCAUGUUGCUUGCAGAACUGCAAUACUGUCAGCAUCGCGAACAGUUGAUAACCUGUGUGCGACCAGAACUGUGGCUCUGCCUUCCAUAAGCUUAUCUAAAACCCUCUUGGACAGACAAACUUUUCAGAUUUUGUAUCCAAUGCACUUGUAACUUCAUCCAAGAGAAGAAUAGAAGGGUCUUUAAGUAUUGCUCUA